rnacentral:rRNA from 1 species
GAUGAACGCUAGCUACAGGCUUAACACAUGCAAGUCGAGGGGAAACGACAUCGAAAGCUUGCUUUUGAUGGGCGUCGACCGGCGCACGGGUGAGUAACGCGUAUCCAACCUGCCCACCACUUGGGGAUAACCUUGCGAAAGUAAGACUAAUACCCAAUGACGUCUCUAGAAGACAUCUGAAAGAGAUUAAAGAUUUAUCGGUGAUGGAUGGGGAUGCGUCUGAUUAGCUUGUUGGCGGGGUAACGGCCCACCAAGGCGACGAUCAGUAGGGGUUCUGAGAGGAAGGUCCCCCACAUUGGAACUGAGACACGGUCCAAACUCCUACGGGAGGCAGCAGUGAGGAAUAUUGGUCAAUGGACGAGAGUCUGAACCAGCCAAGUAGCGUGCAGGAUGACGGCCCUAUGGGUUGUAAACUGCUUUUAUAAGGGAAUAAAGUGAGUCUCGGGAGACUUUUUGCAUGUACCUUAUGAAUAAGGACCGGCUAAUUCCGUG